UACAGAGGUCCCAAGCGUUGUUCGGAUUCACUGGGCGUAAAGGGUGCGUAGGUGGUGAGGUAAGUCGGAUGUGAAAGCUCCGAGCUCAACUCGGAAAUGGCAUUGGAAACUACCUUGCUCGAGGGUUGAGGGGGACUGGAAUACUUGGUGUAGCAGUGAAAUGCGUAGAUAUCAAGUAGAACACCAGUGGCGAAGGCGAGUCCCUGGAAAACUCCUGACACUGAGGCACGAAAGCU
rnacentral:rRNA from 1 species